rnacentral:rRNA from 1 species
CGGGGGGCAGCAGUGGGGAAUAUUGGACAAUGGGGGCAACCCUGAUCCAGCAAUGCCGCGUGAGUGAUGAAGGCCUUCGGGUUGUAAAGCUCUUUUGUCAGGGACGAUGAUGACGGUACCUGACGAAUAAGCUCCGGCUAACUUCGUGCCAGCAGCCGCGGUAAUACGAAGGGAGCUAGCGUUGUUCGGAAUUACUGGGCGUAAAGGGCGCGUAGGCGGUCUUAUAAGUUUGGUGUGAAAGCCCUGGGCUUAACCUAGGAAUAGCAUUGGAUACUGUAAGACUUGAGACCGAGAGAGGGAAAUGGAAUUGCGAGUGUAGAGGUGAAAUUCGUAGAUAUUCGCAAGAACACCAGUGGCGAAGGCGAUUUCCUGGCUCGGUACUGACGCUAAGGCGCGAAAGCGUGGGGAGCAAACAGGAUUAGAUACCCUCGU